rnacentral:rRNA from 1 species
AGCGGCGGAUGGGUGAGUAACACGUGGGGAACCUGCCCCUAAGUCUGGGAUACCAUUUGGAAACAGGUGCUAAUACCGGAUAAUAAAGCAGAUCGCAUGAUCAGCUUUUGGAAGGCGGCGUAAGCUGUCGCUAAGGGAUGGCCCCGCGGUGCAUUAGCUAGUUGGUAAGGUAACGGCUUACCAAGGCGACGAUGCAUAGCCGAGUUGAGAGACUGAUCGGCCACAUUGGGACUGAGACACGGCCCAAACUCCUACGGGAGGCAGCAGUAGGGAAUCCUCCACAAUGGACGCAAGUCUGAUGGAGCAACGCCGCGUGAGUGGAGAAGGUUUUCGGAUCGUAAAGCUCUGUUGUUGGUGAAGAAGGAUAGAGGUAGUAACUGGCCUUUAUUUGACGGUAAUCAACCAGAAAGUCACGGCUAACUACGUGCCAGCAGCCGCGGUAGUACGUAGGUGGCAAGCGUUGUCCGGAUUUAUUGGGCGUAAAGCGAGCGCAGGCGGAAAAAUAAGUCUAAUGUGAAAGCCCUCGGCUUAACCGAGGAACUGCAUCGGAAACUGUUUUUCUUGAGUGCAGAAGAGGAGAGUGGAACUCCAUGUGUAGCGGUGGAAUGCGUAGAUAUAUGGAGGAACACCAGUGGCGAAGGCGGCUCUCUGGUCUGCAACUGACGCUGAGGCUCGAAAGCAUGGGUAGCGAACAGGAUUAGAUACCCUGGUAGUCCAUGCCGUAAACGAUGAGUGCUAAGUGU